rnacentral:rRNA from 1 species
UACGUAGGCAGCGAGCGUUGUUCGGAGUUACUGGGCGUAAAGGGCGCGUAGGCGGGCGCAACAAGUCACUUGUGAAAUCUCCGGGCUUAACCCGGAGCGGUCAAGUGAUACUGUCGUGCUAGAGUGCGGAAGGGGCUACUGGAAUUCCCGGUGUAGCGGUGAAAUGCGCAGAUAUCGGGAGGAACACCAAUGGCGAAGGCAGCUCGCUGGGACGGUACUGACGCUGAGACGCGAAAGCGUGGGGAGCAAACAGG